AUACGGAGGAUCCAAGCGUUAUCCGGAAUCAUUGGGUUUAAAGGGUCCGUAGGCGGGCAAUUAAGUCAGAGGUGAAAGUUUGCGGCUCAACCGUAAAAUUGCCUUUGAAACUGGUUGUCUUGAAUUAUUAUGAAGUGGUUAGAAUAAGUAGUGUAGCGGUGAAAUGCAUAGAUAUUACUUAGAAUACCAAUUGCGAAGGCAGAUCACUAAUAAUAUAUUGACGCUGAUGGACGAAAGCGUGGGGAGCGAACAGGAUUAGAAACCCUAGUAGUCC
rnacentral:rRNA from 1 species